rnacentral:rRNA from 1 species
AACGAACGCUGGCGGCAUGCCUAACACAUGCGAGUCGAACGAGACCUUCGGGUCUAGUGGCGCACGGGUGCGUAACGCAUGGGAACCUGCCCUUAGGUUCGGAAUAACUCCCCGAAAGGGGUGCUAAUACCGGAUAAUGUCUUCGGACCAAAGAUUUAUCGCCUUUGGAUGGGCCCGCGUUGGAUUAGCUAGUUGGUAGGGUAAAAGCCUACCAAGGCGACGAUCCAUAGCUGGUCUGAGAGGAUGAUCAGCCACACUGGGACUGAGACACGGCCCAGACUCCUACGGGGGGCAGCAGUGGGGAAUAUUGGACAAUGGGCGAAAGCCUGAUCCAGCAAUGCCGCGUGAGUGAUGAAGGCCUUAGGGUUGUAAAGCUCUUUUACCCGGGAUGAUAAUGACAGUACCGGGAGAAUAAGCGCCGGCUAACUCCGUG